ACAGACGGGUACAAACAAAAAUCAACGCGGACUCGUGGCUUAAAUAAGUAUAAAAGCUGGGCCUGGCUAUAAACAUUCAAUUGAAACGACCCAUUUUGACACAGUGAAGUAUAAGCCCACUGACUGGUUGAAACAGCCAUGUACAAGGUGUCCCUGCUCGUCCUCGCCAUGACGUGUUGUGCUGUACUUGCUAUACUCGUGACGCCCUCCGCUGGACAGCAUGUCUACCUCGGUUAUCCGUACACAUAUGGAUACGCCUACCCCUACACCGGCUACGGUGGUUAUGGCUACUACCCAUACGGUGCUUAUGGAUACUAUGGCACUCACGUGCGUCUUUUGAAGAAGUAAGAGAAAGCGACGUUGAUGACAUUGUCUGAGUAUUCAUUUGAAAAAUAUGUUUGUAAAUGAUCGCUUGUGCCCGUAUCCUCGAAUAAAUUCUCGAAGCGCUGAGUCA